rnacentral:lncRNA from 1 species
UCCAGUAAGGCCACCACGAUGAUGGAGCUCGAAGGAAGUUCCUUCGCGUUCUUGCAUUCUUUCAAAAAGAGAGAGAGAGAGAGAGAAUGAUUUUUCUUUUUCUUUUGAUUUUAAAUGAAAAUUAAUUAUUUAAUAUAAUUUUACUUGUUUGUAUAAUUGUUUAUUAGUUUUUUGUCCACGUGGGUUUAGGGGUUUAGACUCGUAAAUGACUCGUAAAAUCGGGUAUAGACUCGUAAAUGAUCCUAUAGGUUGAGGGGUUUACUGUAGUUUACCAUUCUUAAAAUACCGUGUUUAUUGAUUUUGUAAGACAUAAUUAGAAUACAAUAAGGAAUCAGAUCCAAAUGCAUGUCAAAUUUUUAUUUGGUUGGGAAAAAUCAAGAAUAUAAUACAAAGAACAUUAGAACUGACAAUGGGGUUUGAGGUUUCUUGUUAAUUACAAAUGGGAUUCAUUUGGUCCAUUAACUCUUCGAUUUGAUAAGGAGUCAGAUCCAAAACAUUCACCUCCAGUGAGGCUCUUCUCUUGGGCCCAUUUCUUUGUGGCCCAAACCCAACAAAAAAACCCAAAAUGCCGAAACCCAUUUUGCUCCCUAAUUUCCAUAUAUAACAAACUUUCCCAUUCCCACCCUAACAGGUGCCUAUAUACACCACCCAACUCUCACACGCUUCUCAUCCCAUUUUCUCUACGCCUCCCAAACCCUAAUCCUUUCCCGAAGAAGUUUUCUUAGAUCCCAAAUCUAGGGUUUUUCAAUCAAAUUCAAUUGUUUUUGCAGCUCAUUUGUGUUUUCUGUUAAAUCAGAAGUGUGCGGUGAUGAGGCUAUUUGUGGACUAGAGUUUAUGAUCUGGGUUCUUCUCCCAAAAGUUUGAUUACAAACCCUUGGCUGUCUGAGCACUCUUCAUCUGUUCUCUAAUCUUCCAAUCUGUGGUUUUGGAAAGUGCUUUUUUCCGAAGUAACCCAUCUUACCUUUUUGACUUUCUGGCAGAUCCCAUAAAUUUUUUCUCAAAUUUAUUGGCUUUUUUAUGCUGUAAAAUUGAUUUUGUUUGUUAGGGUUUGUAUGGCUCUACGUUGAGCUUAUGAUGAUAAUUUUUAAUUAUCUUAGCGGAUUUCAGUGAGCCCUUAAUUAGGGUGAAUGAUCUGAUUGUUACAUAUACUGAGGCUCGAAUUUUAAUUAUUUUUCCUAAAAUUUUUGACAGUAGUUUUGGUUUGGUUUAAAGUUCGCAAAUUUUGAUUUGUUGGGUUGUGGUUUGCGAUGAUGAGGUGAAACACUGGACGUAUUUUGGGCAGUGGACAUGACCUCCAUUUGGGGGUCUUGCCGUGAGCUCAUUCUUACAAAACGACUUCUCCUUCCACUGAGCUCCAUUCCAACAUAAUCAAGUUUUAAAUUUAAUCUAGUGAAAUUGAAAACCAAAUUGUGAAAAAUGCGUCCAUUACCAAUUCUAGAGGAUUAUUGGUUCCUCCUGAUGUAAUGGCUCGGACGCUACAUUGACCUAUGUGGCCAUCCUGAUCAAUGGAUACUCAAUGCCAUUGGAUCCUGGAAACACCCCAUACAUUUACUUUAAAUAAACAGACUUUAAUUUAGGUUAAUUCAUAAUAAUAAUUAGUCUUCAAUCUAUCCUGCUUGAACACCACUAUGUAAAUCAUGGUUCUGGUUUUUUUAUUUGUUUAAAUUGGAAUUUUUUUAAAGAUAAGCGUCUCGGUUUUUUUUAUUUUUUUGGAUCAGAAGUGGAUUUCAUUAAAAACUCAAAAAGGACGUAACAAUACACCAAAAGGUGAGAUCCAAUCAACUGGGCUCAUCAACGAAGCGAAAAUGCCAGAAGCCCGAAUAAAAUGCAAAAGAACCAACAAGAAGUUAAAAACUCAGAAGGCUAAGCUCAUACCAAGGCCAAGAAAGCUAACGAACCCUAACCAAAAUUCAACAAAGCCGCCGCCACUGCCUGAGACGACAUCAUUGGGACAAGCCGCCACCCAAAUACCUUAUAAUCCCACGUAUUAUAAAGACACAUACAAGAAAAAAGAAGCCAGCCAUAAGAUCAUCACCUUCCAAAUCAAACCUGACAAAGCACCAGAACAAACACAAAAACCAAACAAACAUUAACAUAAUAGAAGGAGGUGGUGCAAGCACCCGAGAAAGAGCAAAAGCUCAAACUCUACACAUCUUUAGAGUUGUGCGCGGGAAAUUGCGUUUUCAGCUAGCCGAAGUAGCCACAAGGUUAAGCCAGAUCAAAAGGGAGGAGAAAAUUUCGGUGGGAAGGACCAAGACCAUAGAGAAGGGAUUUGAAUGGAGUGUGUGAGGGAGAUAAGUGGAAAUGGAUGGAGGAGGGGACAACUGAAUACAAGGGAUGAGAAAUAAGGGGGGAUCUGGGUAAAUAAAGGAAAUCGUAGGCAUAAAGCCUCAAGAGUUCAAGCAGAGCUUGAGCAAAACACCCACAAAGGGGAGAACAACACCCACCGAAUGGGAGAGCAGAACACCCACAAAAGGGGAGAGCAGAAACACCCACAAAGAAGGGGAGAAAACAAGCAACAGAUCUCCACAAGGAAAUCCACAAAAUCCACAAGCAAUAAGGAGCAGGCUAGAGAAGAGAACGUUUUCACACAAGAUAAACUGCCACAUUUCUAUGCCCUUGAAACAUUGUUCAAGUCCCACUUGAAUUGUUAAAUCGGCUUUUGACAUAAGAAUUUAGGUGGUCGAAUUGGUAGGGUGUAAAUCCAAAUCAACUUGUCUGGUUUAGUUUUUGAAGAUGGAUUUGGAUUUGACUCAAAUUCAUUUAAAAUUUCAUAAACUCAAAUUUGUAGGUGGUUUUGUGUUGAAUCAAAUUCAUUUGCUCAAAAAAGGCCCAAUUCAUAUAGUCCGAUUUAGGUGAAAUGAUAUAUAACUUUGACAUAUUAGUUGGAGCCGAAGUGUAGAUUAAAUUUGAGUUCCAAAAUUGGUAAAUAGCAAAUUGAAAGUUUAAAUCAACAUCAUAUUUCUCGUCCCUCGAACUGAUGUGCUUGAUAUCAGAUUAGAUUAUUGCAAAACCUACUGAUACAAGAAAAAAAAAAAAUGCUCAAGAUGAAUUUCUUC